GACGAACGCUGGCGGCGUGCUUAACACAUGCAAGUCGAACGGUCAGGCCCUUCGGGGUACACGAGUGGCGAACGGGUGAGUAACACGUGGGUGAUCUGCCCUGCACUUCGGGAUAAGCCUUGGAAACUGGGUCUAAUACCGGAUAGGACCACUGCGUGCAGGGGCGGGGGUGGAAAGCUUUUGCGGUGUGGGAUGGGCGCGCGGCCUAUCAGCUUGUUGGGGGGGUGAUGGCCGACCAAGGCGACGACGGGUAGCCGGCCUGAGAGGGGGACCGGCCACACUGGGACUGAGAUACGGCCCAGACUCCUACGGGAGGCAGCAGUGGGGAAUAUUGCACAAUGGGCGCAAGCCUGAUGCAGCGACGCCGCGUGAGGGAUGACGGCCUUCGGGUUGUAAACCUCUUUCAGCACCGACGAAGCGCAAGUGACGGUAGGUGCAGAAGAAGGACCGGCCAACUACGUGCCAGCCGCCGCGGUAA
rnacentral:rRNA from 1 species